rnacentral:rRNA from 1 species
GGAGCAUGUGGCUUAAUUUGACUCAACGCGGGAAAUCUUACCGGGUCCGGACACACUGAGGAUUGACAGGCAAUAUUAUACUAAAACACGCACUCUCUCUAUAUCACACACUCGUGUGUGACGUGUGUGUGUGUGUGUGUGUUGCUGUAAAUGUGAGAAUCUGAUCUUCCUUUCAUGAUUAUGUGAGAGGUGGUGCAUGCACGUUCUGAGUUGAUGUAUCGGUCUGUCUGCGUAUUUGCAUUUCGCUAAUAGGCUGAGAAUAUGCUUAUAUACUUAUAAACAUUAACACGCGUUUUUCUGUAUGUGUGUAUAUGUAUAUAUUUUUAACUCUUAGACGCUCAAAAAUGAGAGCGUGACCUCGUGCUCUUUUUACUCUAUUCUUAUACACACGCGCACAAGAGAGACAGCGGUGUCACUCUUUCACUCUCACAAGAGUGUGAGAGUUAUAACGCAGUGUGAC